UACGUAGGGGGCGAGCGUUGUCCGGAAUUAUUGGGCGUAAAGAGCGUGUAGGCUGUUCGGUAAGUCUGCCGUGAAAACCUGAGGCUCAACCUCGGGCGUGCGGUGGAUACUGCCGGGCUAGAGGACGGUAGAGGCGAGUGGAAUUCCCGGUGUAGCGGUGAAAUGCGCAGAUAUCAGGAAGAACACCAAUGGCGAAAGCAGCUCUCUGGGACGGUACUGACGCUGAGACGCGAAAGCGUGGGGAGCGAACAGG
rnacentral:rRNA from 1 species